rnacentral:rRNA from 1 species
AUUGAACGCUGGCGGCAUGCCUUACACAUGCAAGUCGAACGGUAACAGGUUAAGCUGACGAGUGGCGAACGGGUGAGUAAUACAUCGGAACGUGCCCAGUAGUGGGGGAUAGCCCGGCGAAAGCCGGAUUAAUACCGCAUACGACCUAAGGGUGAAAGGGGGGGAUCGCAAGACCUCUCGCUAUUGGGGCGGCCGAUGUCAGAUUAGCUAGUUGGUGGGGUAAAAGCUCACCAAGGCGACGAUCUGUAGCUGGUCUGAGAGGACGACCAGCCACACUGGGACUGAGACACGGCCCAGACUCCUACGGGAGGCCGCAGUGGGGAAUUUUGGACAAUGGGCGCAAGCCUGAUCCAGCCAUGCCGCGUGCGGGAAGAAGGCCUUCGGGUUGUAAACCGCUUUUGUCAGGGAAGAAAUCCUUUGGGUUAAUACCUCGGGGGGAUGACGGUACCUGAAGAAUAAGCACCGGCUAACUACGUG